rfam:Capsicum annuum cultivar Zunla-1 unplaced genomic scaffold scaffold555, whole genome shotgun sequence
GUUUAGGUAGCUUAGCUGGUUAGAGAAAAGGACUAAAAAUCCUUGUGUCAGUAGUUCGAAUCCACUUCUAAGAA